CAUAAUCUUUUUAAGGCAUCCAAGUUUAUGGUAUCUAGUCAGAAAAAUUACAUCUUACUGCAUCAGUCCCUCAGAAUUUUAUGUUGAGCCUCAUCAUCAGCAACAUGCAAAAUGUUUGAGAUUCUAAGAAUAGGAAAGAAAAAGCCAUGGUUUCAGCACCAGCAAAGGAGGAUAAAAUGAAGAAGGAACACUGGAGAUUCUGGAGUUUCCACACAAGAGAUAUCAACAAGUCCAGUUAUCUUCCAGCAAAAUGA
rnacentral:lncRNA from 1 species